rnacentral:misc_RNA from 1 species
GUGAAUCAUCAAAUUUUUGAACGCAAAUUGCGCUUCCUGGUAUCCCGGGAAGCAUGCCUGUUUGAGGGUCAGUAUUCACAAAAAAUCGGUUUUGUUGCAAAUUGUGACGUUUCCGUAGUCUGGUCUUAUCUUAACUUUUUUGGUCAAGGGGCUUAGAAUUGACCUUUUUUGCGCAUUUUAGACUUGCAUAAAUUUUUUUUUAUUCGUCUAUUCUUAAUGCCAAACUCUUACUAGAUGCGAUCACAUCGUGUGGCUUUGUGCUCAUAAAAUGUUCAUUAUUUGACCUCAAAU